UACGGAGGGGGCUAGCGUUGUUCGGAAUUACUGGGCGUAAAGCGCACGUAGGCGGCUUUGUAAGUUAGAGGUGAAAGCCCGGGGCUCAACUCCGGAAUUGCCUUUAAGACUGCAUCGCUAGAAUUGUGGAGAGGUAAGUGGAAUUCCGAGUGUAGAGGUGAAAUUCGUAGAUAUUCGGAAGAACACCAGUGGCGAAGGCGACUUACUGGACACAUAUUGACGCUCAGGCACGAAAGCGUGGGGAGCAAAAGGG
rnacentral:rRNA from 1 species